AUGGCUAGCAAGAAGAUUAUGUUCUUCAAACUGAUCAUAAGCCUUAGCCUUGCUGCUCGCAGUACUGGCAAUGAGGACGAUCAAUUUGUAUACUCAGGCUUCACCGGCAGCAACCUCGCCCUUGAUGGCAAUGCCAGGAUCAUGCCAAGCGGUCUCCUCGAGCUGACCAAUGGUACAGCUCGGCUUAAAGGCCACGCAUUCCAUCCAAACCCCAUGCGCUUCCACAAAUCUCCCAAUGGCACGGUGCGUUCUUUCUCUGUAUCGUUUGUGUUUGCCAUCCUCUCCACCGACCCUGACUUGAGUGGUCAUGGCCUUGCCUUCUUCAUUGCACCAACCAGGAAUUUCUCAGCUGCAUUCCCAACCCAGUACUUGGGCCUCUUCAGUGACCAGAAUAAUGGUGACCCAAACAACCACAUUUUUGCGGUUGAGCUUGACACCAAAAUUAUGACUUAG
rnacentral:rRNA from 1 species